rnacentral:lncRNA from 1 species
UUUCAUCUGCAUAAUGAUUGUCUUGUUUGAUUUUCAAAAGCUUUUCAUAUCAAAAUCAUUAUGCAGGUUGUUUCUUAAACCCAUUGAACAUAGUGAUCCGACGUCAUCUCCCAAUUUUGAAUUCCCUGCAUUCGAAGCGGAAGAAGAUGAUGUUGAAAGGAUUCCUGACGAGAUUUCCCGAUUUCUUGAGCAAGAAAAGAAGAUCACUCAGCUGCAUCUCGAGAAUCAGCAUAACAGCCAACUGGGGCAUUAACAAAAAACAAAAAAUAGAAAGAGGAGGGUAAAAAAAAAAUCAAUCAAAAGAAAAAAAAAGAAUCAAAAAGGAAAAAAAGUCAAAAGAAAGAAACAAAAGAAUAAUAGCGCCCUCGAAGUCCCAAGUUGACUAAUGCUGAAUGGAUUCAG